rnacentral:rRNA from 1 species
UACGUAGGGCGCAAGCGUUUAUCCGGAAUUAUUGGGCGUAAAGAGCUCGUAGGCGGUUUGUCGCGUCUGCCGUGAAAGUCCGGGGCUCAACUCCGGAUCUGCGGUGGGUACGGGCAGACUAGAGUGAUGUAGGGGAGACUGGAAUUCCUGGUGUAGCGGUGAAAUGCGCAGAUAUCAGGAGGAACACCGAUGGCGAAGGCAGGUCUCUGGGCCGUAACUGACGCUGAGGAGCGAAAGCGUGGGGAGCGAACAGG